UCAGUUGGAGUAGACACACUGAGAAGAUCCAACAAGAACUCGCACCCUUUGAACCAAAAUUCACAGACGACAUGACGGAGGAGGAAAAAAUUAAAGUGCUCGUGUCUUAUUCCUGCUAUGGUUCCACACAUUAUGAUCAGGUCGCUCGUCCUCUGCCAGACACUUACAUCUGGUAUCGUUGUGGGCAGGGCGGUCACCACAUCAGGGACUGUCCCACCAAACAGGAUGAAAGUUUCAGGCCUGUGAAGAGGAUCAAGAGGAGCUCAGGGAUCCCUCGAUCCUUC